rnacentral:lncRNA from 1 species
AGCAUUUAGUUCUGACAAUUGAAGAAGCUGGAGAAUUUCCACUAAGCCAACAUACUUAGUAUCUUCCAGCACCUACAAAUUUGAAAGUUAUCCAGUUCUUAAGUAUUGCCAUUUGGCCUGAGAAGAUAUUGACUUCUGGCCAUGUUUCAAAGAAGUGCACAUAUAUAAAUAUCUAUUCAAUCCUUUAUCUUCCAAUAUCCUAUAACAUGGAAAUGUAUAUUGCUAGGUCCUCUUUAUUCAACAGCAACUGAGUAGAACCCAUUAAUCCCUUCACUGGUGCAUUCAUUCAGGAAAUACAUUUUGAGUGCCUUGAAACUAUCUCCAAUGCCCAGCAUAGCCCAUAGCAUCUAGACUAAUAUAUGUGUGUGUACAUAUAUAUGAAUAUAUAUAGCAAUAUAUAUAUAUACUUCCUACCUUCAAUGACCUCGAAGUACAGCAAAUAAUUAUUAUGUGCUAAAUGAUGGAAACACAAAGAUAUACUAUGAAGAGAAGUAGGAGUUGGAGGACCAACUGUGUACAGAGACGAGAUCAUGGAAGAUCAACUGAGCGCCUCUGGCAAAACAUCAAGAGCAAAGAGAAGAUGGCCCAUCAUAAGCCAAAGCAAUUAAAUUCCUCUCCCUCUGGCCACACCAAAGAGCAUUUAACAUGCAUCAUGGUCUCAGGUCAAGAGUAUAUUCAAUAGUUGACAGUGAUGUGGCCUCUAGCUUUCCAGAAGAGAGGAAGUCACUGUCCAUCAUACAGUGCUUUAAUUUGAGAGGCUGAACUGAUGUCUGUGGAGAAAAGAACACGAAGGAAUAAUGUAAUAUGAAACUCCCUAACAUGAUACAUAUACAAAGACUAUUGAGAAAUCAAUGUGGAAAAUGCAAAACUAAGGGAGAAAGCAUUUUGAACCACUCAUCUAAGAAUAUGGUCAGUAUUAAAAAGACAAGAAUAUCAGAAAAAUCUCCCAAGUUAUGUUCAUAGGCUUAGCAGAAUAAAGGUAAGGCUUACUAGUUAAA